rnacentral:tRNA from 1 species
AAAGAAUUAGUUAAAAAAUAACAUUAAAUUGUCAAUUUAAAAUUAUUAAUAAUAAUAUUUUUUC